GACGAACGCUGGCGGCGUGCUUAACACAUGCAAGUCGAACGGAAAGGCCCUGCUUUUGUGGGGUGCUCGAGUGGCGAACGGGUGAGUAACACGUGUGUAUCCUGCCCUUGACUUUGGGAUAACUUCAGGAAACUGGGGCUAAUACCGGAUAGGAGCUCUUGCUGCAUGGUGGGGGUUGGAAAGUUUCGGCGGUUGGGGAUGGACUCGCGGCUUAUCAGCUUGUUGGUGGGGUAGUGGCUUACCAAGCCUGUGACGGGUAGCCGGCCUGAGAGGGUGACCGGGCACAAGGGGCCUGAGAUACGGACCAGACGCGAACGGGAGGCAGCAGUGGGGAAUAUUGCACAAUGGGCGGAAGCGUGAUGCGGAAACGCCGCGUGCGGGAUGACGGCCUUCGAGUUGUAAACCGCUUUCGCCUGUGACGAAGAGUGAGUGACGGUAAUGGGUAAAGAAGCACCGGCUAACUACGUG
rnacentral:rRNA from 1 species